rnacentral:rRNA from 1 species
CCUACGGGAGGCAGCAGUGGGGAAUAUUGGGCAAUGGGCGCAAGCCUGACCCAGCAACGCCGCGUGAAGGAAGAAGGCUUUCGGGUUGUAAACUUCUUUUAUCAGGGACGAAGCAAGUGACGGUACCUGAUGACUAAGCCACGGCUAACUACGUGCCAGCAGCCGCGGUAAUCCGUAGGUGGCAAGCGUUAUCCGGAUUUACUGGGUGUAAAGGGCGUGUAGGCGGGAGUGCAAGUCAGAUGUGAAAACUAUGGGCUCAACCCAUAGCCUGCAUUUGAAACUGUACUUCUUGAGUGCUGGAGAGGCAAUCGGAAUUCCGGGUGUAGCGGUGAAAUGCGUAGAUAUACGGAGGAACACCAGUGGCGAAGGCGGAUUGCUGGACAGUAACUGACGCUGAGGCGCGAAAGCGUGGGGAGCAAACAGGAUUAGAUACCCCAAUAGUC